rnacentral:lncRNA from 1 species
CAAGAAAAGACACUAGAUGCUCAGAGCAAAGUGAAGAAAUUAGAAGCUCGCUGACCACAAACACCCUAAUCCAAUUACCUAAGAGGAUACAAUUAGUUAUCACAAACAAAACAUUUUAAGGUUCAGGUGCUACCAAAUAAUCAUUCUUCUGUCAAAAACAAUAACCCUGGUUGUGUAAAAUUCAUAAAGACACACGAGCGGACAUGGUAGAAAACAGUCUAAAGUAUACAAAAGGGAUAUGGGGGAGAUAUGCAAGCAUCAAGGCACACGCCAUAAUUUGGUGGGAUAAAGGAGAGGACUCCUUGUGGGAGUUGGUUUAAGUUUCUGAUGUUGUUUAGUUCCAACAGAGCUGCAUCAAAGUUGUCCAGGGCAAUUCUAUAAUUUUACUGAAUUGCUGGAAUUUUGAUAGGAGUCUGUUGUUUUAUUUUUCCUGUUCAGAUACUUUAUUUAGUCCUUAAAAAAGUGGACUUGUUUAUGUUUCUUAUAUUGGAAUCCUUAUGUUUUCCUACAUAGGAAUCCAAGUCCCGUCAGGAUUAGGAGUCAUUCGAGCAUUAUAAAUAUGCUUGUAGUAUUUUGAUUUCUAGUAGAGAAUUUUUCUAUUGAAUAAAUUGCAGCUUUUGCUAGGCUAUGUGAGAGUGAGGCUUCCAAUCUAGAAGUGAAUCCUAAACCUUUUAGUGUGAGGGUAGAAGUUUUAUUCUCUGUUCUGUUUUUCUAUUCCUAAAGCCCUAAAACUUCAUAUUAUGCAACCUAACCUAAUAAACAUCCAGCUACGAACAUUCCCCUAUAUUUGUCCUGCAACAGGAAAAGCACUCAAUAUGAAAUGUUAGCUAUAAUUAUUUAGCAUGGCAGAAGAUUAGCAGAAGCAGGUAAAACUGCAAUGCCAACUUUCGACAUUCUCCCUGUAUGCAGCACCUUUGGGUUUAGGGGCAAGGUGAGGACUCCAUAUGUAUCCAUAUGGCACGUCAGAAUCAGAUCCCUGUGAACCACUGAGAUAAGUGACAGGUCGUAGCUUCAACUUUUUUUUCCUUAAAUCAUUUAUCAUGUCCCGUAUUCCCAGCCAAAUCAUCGAAUCGACUAUUUGAUAUGAAAGCUACAGAAAUUGCACGUGGCCAAAAGUAAGUCAGAAAUAACCAGAUAUUUUAAAGAAAUCGAUGCAACAAGGAGAGCUAAAAGGGAAAAAAAUCCAGUGGGCUUACUCGAUAUCCAGCUGAUUGCUUGACACGCGACAAGGGAUGAGGAAAUUCACUAGUUGGCCUGGCAAGAAAUGAUAAAAAAAAAAAUUGCUUAAAACAGUUGAGGAUUUACCCAUUGAAGAGAAUUAUAUAUGUCAACAUUGACACAGUAAGAAUGUUGAAGCUACAUCCUACUAAUCAAGAUUCCAUUACCCAGGGAAGACUUACGUCCAUGGCAUGGUGAAGAAUAUAUGAAGUGGUACUUUUAGGGCCUCUGCCACAUGAGUAUGCCCUAAAGAAAACAUUACAAGGGUAAGUUGAAGAAUAUUGAACAUGAAAAUAUAAAUACAGGUUGAAUGUAUCUAUGUAAGAAACAAACAGAGAUGUUCCAUGCAAAAGAAAAAUACACAUGCCACAUCUGCAUAAUUUGGUAAGAGCAGACACACACAAGAGAGAGAAAUGUAGAGGUGGAAGAGAAAAUGAUGCAAAACAGCAAAGAACAGCAAUAUAAUGGCCAAAACUUGAAGAAAACUGAGAGAGAGAGAGAGAGAGAGAGAGAGAGAGAGAGAGAGAGGAUGCACAUCCAAGGAAUUUACAAAAUAUUACCACAGGAGGAACAAGAGCAAGAGGAUUGCCCUUUCCUAAAACAAAAUUGAGUGAACAUAGAAAUAUA